rnacentral:rRNA from 1 species
CCUACGGGUGGCAGCAGUGAGGAAUAUUGGUCAAUGGACGAGAGUCUGAACCAGCCAAGUAGCGUGAAGGAUGACUGCCCUAUGGGUUGUAAACUUCUUUUAUAUGGGAAUAAAACGUUCCACGUGUGGGAUUUUGUAUGUACCAUAUGAAUAAGGAUCGGCUAACUCCGUGCCAGCAGCCGCGGUAAUACGGAGGAUCCGAGCGUUAUCCGGAUUUAUUGGGUUUAAAGGGAGCGUAGGUGGAUUGUUAAGUCAGUUGUGAAAGUUUGCGGCUCAACCGUAAAAUUGCAGUUGAAACUGGCAGUCUUGAGUACAGUAGAGGUGGGCGGAAUUCGUGGUGUAGCGGUGAAAUGCUUAGAUAUCACGAAGAACGCCGAUGGCGAAGGCAGUUCACUGGACUGCAACUGACACUGAGGCUCGAAAGUGUGGGUAUCAAACAGGAUUAGAUACCCUUGUAGUC